rnacentral:rRNA from 1 species
AGAGUUUGAUCCUGGCUCAGGAUGAACGCUGGCGGCAUGCCUAAGACAUGCAAGUCGAACGAGGUGGCCCAAAGAAGAUUGAGUGCUUGCACAAGAUUGGACUUGGAUUACCACCUAGUGGCGGACGGGUGAGUAACACGUAGGUGACCUACCUUUGAGUUUGGGAUAACUAUUAGAAAUGAUAGCUAAUACCGAAUUAAAUGCAGAUUCGUUUCUGCAUUAAAAGGAGCCUUUAAAGCUUCGCUUAAAGAUGGGCCUGCGGCGUAUUAGCUAGUUGGUGAGGUAAUGGCUUACCAAGGCGACGAUGCGUAGCCGAACUGAGAGGUUGAUCGGCCACAUUGGGACUGAGACACGGCCCAAACUCCUACGGGAGACAGCAGUUAGGAAUAUUCGUCAAUGGGGGAAACCCUGAACGAGCAAUGCCGCGUGAACGAUGAAGGCCCUAUGGGUUGUAAAGUUCUGUUGCAUGGGACGAACGAUUAGGAUAGGAAAUGAUCUUAAUGUGACGGUACCAUGCCAGAAAGCUCCGGCUAACUACGUGCCAGCAGCCGCGGUAAUACGUAGGGAGCAAGCGUUAUCCGGAUUUAUUGGGCGUAAAGGGUGCGUAGGCGGUUUGUUAAGUAUGAGAUUAAAGCCCGAGGCUUAACCUCGGUUCGUUUCAUAAACUGGCAGGCUUGAGUGUGGCAGAGGUAAACGGAAUUUCUAGUGUAGCGGUUAAAUGCGUAGAUAUUAGAAGGAACACCAGUGGCGAAGGCGGUUUACUGGGCCAUAACUGACGCUGAGGCACGAAAGCGUGGGGAGCAAAUAGGAUUAGAUACCCUAGUAGUCCACGCCGUAAACGAUGAGUACUAAGUGUUGGGGCAACCCAGUGCUGAAGUUAACACAUUAAGUACUCCGCCUGAGUAGUACGGUCGCAAGGCUGAAACUCAAAGG